rnacentral:rRNA from 1 species
GACGAACGCUGGCGGCGUGCCUAUUACAUGCAAGUCGAACGCUUUUUCUUUCACCGGAGCCUGCUCCACCGAGAGAAAAAGAGUGGCGAACGGGUGAGUAACACGUGGGUAAUCUGCCCAUCAGAAGGGGAUAACACUUGGAAACAGGUGCUAAUACCGUAUAACACUAUUUUCCGCAUGGAAGAAAGUUUAAAGGCGCUUUUGCGUCACUGAUGGAUGGACCCGCGGUGCAUUAGCUAGUUGGUGAGGUAACGGCUCACCAAGGCAACGAUGCAUAGCCGACCUGAGAGGGUGAUCGGCCACACUGGGACUGAGACACGGCCCAGACUCCUACGGGAGGCAGCAGUAGGGAAUCUUCGGCAAUGGACGAAAGUCUGACCGAGCAACGCCGCGUGAGUGAAGAAGGUUUUCGGAUCGUAAAACUCUGUUGUUAGAGAAGAACAAGGAUGAGAGUAGAACGUUCAUCCCUUGACGGUAUCUAACCAGAAAGCCACGGCUAACUACGUGCCAGCAGCCGCUGUAA